rnacentral:rRNA from 1 species
CCCAGACUCCUACGGGAGGCAGCAGUGGGGAAUAUUGCACAAUGGGGGAAACCCUGAUGCAGCGACGCCGCGUGAGUGAAGAAGUAUUUCGGUAUGUAAAGCUCUAUCAGCAGGGAAGAAAGUGACGGUACCUGAUUAAGAAGCCCCGGCUAACUACGUGCCAGCAGCCGCGGUAAUACGUAGGGGGCAAGCGUUAUCCGGAUUUACUGGGUGUAAAGGGAGCGUAGACGGUGAUGCAAGUCAGAAGUGAAAGCCCGGGGCUCAACUCCGGGACUGCUUUUGAAACUGUGUGACUGGAGUGCAGGAGAGGUAAGCGGAAUUCCUGGUGUAGCGGUGAAAUGCGUAGAUAUCAGGAGGAACACCAGUGGCGAAGGCGGCUUACUGGACUGUAACUGACGUUGAGGCUCGAAAGCGUGGGGAGCAAACAGGAUUAGAUACCCCCGUACA